rnacentral:rRNA from 1 species
GAGUUUGAUUCUGGCUCAGAACGAACGCUGGCGGCGCGUCUUAAGCAUGCAAGUCGAACGGCAAGAUACCUUCGGGUAUCCUAGAGUGGCGGACUGGUGAGUAACGCGUGGAUGACGUACCCUCGUGACUGGGAUAGCCGGUAGAAAUACCGGAUAAUACCGGAUAAGGUCUCACGGAAUAAAGGCGUGAGAGGAAAGCAGCGUAUGCUGCGCAGGAGGAACGGUCUGCGACCUAUCAGCUAGUUGGCAGGGUAAAGGCCUACCAAGGCGACGACGGGUAUCCGGCCUGAGAGGGUGGACGGACACAUUGGGACUGAGAUACGGCCCAGACUCCUACGGGAGGCAGCAGCUAAGAAUAUUCCGCAAUGGGGGGAACCCUGACGGAGCGACGCCGCGUGGACGAUGAAGGUCGGAAGAUUGUAAAGUCCUUUUAUACAUGAAGAAGAAGUUAUACAGGAAAUGGUAUGAUGGUGACUGUAGUGUAUGAAUAAGCACCG